rnacentral:rRNA from 1 species
UGGGGAAUUUUGCGCAAUGGGCGAAAGCCUGACGCAGCAACGCCGCGUGAGGGAUGAAGGCCUUCGGGUCGUAAACCUCUGUCAGAGGGGAAGAACAUCCUGUGGGUUAAUAUCCCACAGGCCUGACGGUACCCUCAGAGGAAGCACCGGCUAACUCCGUGCCAGCAGCCGCGGUAAUACGGAGGGUGCAAGCGUUGUUCGGAAUUAUUGGGCGUAAAGCGCGUGUAGGCGGUUUGUUAAGUCUGAUGUGAAAGCCCCGGGCUCAACCUGGGAAGUGCAUUGGAUACUGGCAAACUUGAGUAUGGGAGAGGAAAGUGGAAUUCCGAGUGUAGGGGUGAAAUCCGUAGAUAUUCGGAGGAACACCAGUGGCGAAGGCGGCUUUCUGGACCAAUACUGACGCUGAGACGCGAAAGCGUGGGGAGCAAACA